GUGUCAGCAGCCGCGGUAAUACGGAGGGUGCAAGCGUUAUCCGGAUUUACUGGGUUUAAAGGGUGCGCAGGCGGAUAUGUAAGUCAGUGGUGAAAUCUCUAGGCUUAACCUGGAAAUUGCCGUUGAUACUAUAUAUCUUGAAUGCUGUGGAGGUAAGCGGAAUAUGUCAUGUAGCGGUGAAAUGCUUAGAUAUGACAUAGAACACCUAUUGCGAAGGCAGCUUACUACGCAGAUAUUGACGCUCAUGCACGAAAGCGUGGGGAUCAAACAGGAUUAGAAACCCGGGUAGUCC
rnacentral:rRNA from 1 species